rnacentral:rRNA from 1 species
CGUAAGGCGCCGAAUGAGUCAUUAAAAAUUAACAUCAUCCGAUCCCUAGUCGGCAUAGUUUAUGGUUAAGACUACGACGGUAUCUGAUCGUCUUCGAUCCCCUAACUUUCGUUCUUGAUUAAUGAAAACAUCCUUGGCAAAUGCUUUUCGCAGUAGUUAGUCUUCAAUAAAUCCAAAGAAUUUCACCUCUGACAAUUGAAUACUAAUGCCCCCAACUAUCCCUAUUAAUCAUUACGUCGAUCCUAGAAACCAACAAAAUAGAAUCAAACGUCCUAUUCAUUAUCCAUGCUAAUGUAUUCAAGCGUGAGCCUGCUUUAAACACUC